UUGCCCAUCGGGGCCUCGGAUACCGGCUCUGAUUUUU
rnacentral:ncRNA from 1 species